rnacentral:rRNA from 1 species
GAAGCUUUACUGUAUCUUGGAAUUGGGUUUGGGCUUUGCUUGCGCAGGAUAGGUGGGAGGCUUUGAUGAUAUUCUUGCGGGAAUAUCGGAGCCAAUGGUGAGAUACCACUCUAGUAAGGCUAAAAUUCUAACUUCGAACCGUUAUCCGGUCGAAGAACAGUUUCAGGUGGGCAGUUUGACUGGGGCGGUCGCCUCCUAAAAGGUAACGGAGGCGUGCAAAGGUUCCCUCAGGCUGGUUGGACAUCAGUCGUAGAGUGUAAAGGCAUAAGGGAGCUUGACUGCGAGACCUACAAGUCGAGCAGAGACGAAAGUCGGCCUUAGUGAUCCGACGGUUCCGAGUGGAAGGGCCGUCGCUCAACGGAUAAAAGUUACUCUAGG